AUACGGAGGGUGCAAGCGUUACUCGGAAUCACUGGGCGUAAAGAGCGUGUAGGCGGGUUAAUAAGUUGGAAGUGAAAUCCUAUGGCUCAACCAUAGAACUGCUUUCAAAACUGUUGACCUAGAAUAUGGGAGAGGUAGAUGGAAUUUCUGGUGUAGGGGUAAAAUCCGUAGAGAUCAGAAGGAAUACCGAUUGCGAAGGCGAUCUACUGGAACAUUAUUGACGCUGAGACGCGAAAGCGUGGGGAGCAAACAGGAUUAGAUACCCUAGUAGUCC
rnacentral:rRNA from 1 species